AGGUUAACCGUAUAGGGGAGCCGUAGAGAAAUCGAGUCUUAAUAGGGCGUUUAGUUGCUGGGUAUAGACCCGAAACCAGGCGAUCUAUCCAUGAGCAGGUUGAAGGUUGGGUAACACUAACUGGAGGACCGAACCCACUGUCGUUGAAAAGCCAGGGGAUGACUUGUGGAUAGGGGUGAAAGGCUAAUCAAGCCUGGUGAUAGCUGGUUCUCCCCGAAAGCUAUUUAGGUAGCGCCUCGGACGAAUACCAUAGGGGGUAGAGCACUGUUUCGGCUAGGGGGUCAUCCCGACUUACCAAACCGAUGCAAACUCCGAAUACCUAUGAGUACUAUCCGGGAGACAGACUGCGGGUGCUAACGUCCGUAGUCAAGAGGAAAACAAUCCAGACCGCCAGCUAAGGCCCCAAAAUCAUAGUUAAGUGGGAAACGAUGUGGGAAGGCAUAGACAGCUAGGAGGUUGGCUUAGAAGCAGCCACCCUUUAAAGAAAGCGUAAUAGCUCACUAGUCGAGUCGGCCUGCGCGGAAGAUGUAACGGGGCUAAAACUAUGUGCCGAAGCUGCGGAUUUGACAUUAGUCAAGUGGUAGGGGAGCGUUCUGUAAGCCGAUGAAGGUGU
rnacentral:rRNA from 1 species